GACCUUUUUGAUGUUUUCCUUAGACAAUCCACAUCGCCUUGAUUCAUCAUCAUUCCAGGAUAGUGGUGUCCUUGGGGCUCUCUCUUAACACUGAUAUGGUACAGAAGAUUUAAAAUCAGCUGAUGUUCACAAGGAAUAGAGUCACGUGAUGUAUGAAGGCAAACACAUACACUUCUCUGAGGUUGACAAUAAGCCCUUGUGCUCGUAUAGCCCCAAACUGUGCAAGCAGAGGCGACUUAACGGCUACGCCUUCUGUAUCAGACACGUUCUGGAGGACAAGACUGCCCCCUUCAAGCAAUGUGAAUAUGUGGCCAAGUAUAACAGCCAACGCUGCAC
rnacentral:lncRNA from 1 species